rnacentral:rRNA from 1 species
CGCGAAUUGCCCUUCGGGGUGCCCAGGCGCGAAUACUUUGCAAUACACGAAAGUGUGACUGGGUCGUCCCGAGUGCCGACCGCUGAGGUUGGCUUUUACCCAGUCUAGAACGCUGGGGGAAUAAGGAGAGGGCAAGUCUGGUGUCAGCCGCCGCGGUAAUACCAGCUCUCCCAGUGGUGUGGACGUUUAUUGGGCCUAAAGCGUCCGUAUCUGGCUGAACAAGUCCCCUGUUAAACCCACCGAUUUAAUCGUUGGAUCUGCGGGGGAUACUGCUCGGCUAGGGGACGAGAGAGGCAGACGGUAUUCCCGGGGUAGGGGUGAAAUCCUAUAAUCCCGAUAAGACAUCCACUGGCAAAGGCUGUCUGCUAGAACGCGCCCGAUGGUAAGGGAUGAAAGCUGGGGGAGCUAACCGGAUUAGAUACCCGGGUAGUCCCGGCUGUAAACUAUGCAGACUAUGUGUUUGGACGGCCACGUGCCGUUCUAGUGCCGCAGGGAAGCUGUUAGGUCUGCCGCCUGGGGAGUACGAUCGCAAGAUUGAAACUUAAAGGAAUUGCCGGGGGAGCAC